GUGCUUGCUUCAGCAGCACAUAUACUAAAAUUGGAGUAAUACAGAGAUUAGCAAGGCCCUUAUGCAAAGGUAACACGCAAUUUCAUGAAGCAUUCCAUGUUUUU